rnacentral:misc_RNA from 1 species
UCCGGUUUGUCACCGGCAGUCUCCCAUGAGUCCUCUCCGUAAAGGAGUAGCAACUAAGGGCAAGGGUUUCGCUCGUUAUGGGACUUAACCCGACAUCUCACGACACGAGCUGACGACAGCCAUGCAGCACCUGCACUGGGUUCCGGACUGGAUACCGUUGGGGAAACGUUUCCGCUCCAUACUUCCCAGCGCUUUCGCACAUGUCAAGCCCAGGAUAAGGUUCUUCGCGUAGCCUCGAAUUGAGCCACAUGCUCCACCGCUUGUGUGAGCCCCCGUCAAUUCCUUUGAGUUUUAGCCUUGCGGCCGUACUCCCCAGGCGGGGUGCUUAAUGCGUUAGCUUCGGCACGGACGGAGUCGACACCGCCCACACCUAGCACCCAUCGUUUACGGCGUGGACUAC